AGCGAACGCUGGCGGCAGGCCUAAAACAUGCAAGUCGAACGCCCUAGCAAUAGGGAGUGGCAGACGGGUGAGUAACACGUGGGAACGUGCCUUUUGGUUCGGAACAACACAGGGAAACUUGUGCUAAUACCGGAUAAGCCCUUACGGGGAAAGAUUUAUCGCCAAAAGAUCGGCCCGCGUCUGAUUAGCUAGUUGGUGGGGUAACGGCCCACCAAGGCUACGAUCAGUAGCUGGUCUGAGAGGAUGAUCAGCCACACUGGGACUGAGACACGGCCCAGACUCCUACGGGAGGCAGCAGUUAGGAAUCUUGGACAAUGGGCGCAAGCCUGAUCCAGCCAUGCCGCGUGAGUGAUGAAGGCCUUAGGGUUGUAAAGCUCUCUCAGCGGGGAAGAUAAUGACGGUACCCGCAGAAGAAGCCCCGGCUAACUUCGUGCCAGCAGCCGCCGCGG
rnacentral:rRNA from 1 species